CGGGGAUCAUGUGCUUCCAGUUUUCACAGGGGAGUGUGGGGAUUGCGUGCAUUGCAAGUCUGAGGAAAGCAAUAUGUGUGACCUGCUGAGAAUCAAUACAGAUAGAGGAGUUAUGAUUGGUGAUGGGAAACAAAGGUUUUCCAAGAAUGGGACUCCUAUUAAUCACUUUCUUGGCACGUCCACCUUCAGUGACUAUACAGUCAUCCAUGAAGGCUGCCUUGCCAAGAUCGAUCUGUCAGCACCGUUAGACAAAGUCUGCAUCCUCAGUUGUGGUGUCUCAACAGGUUUAGUGUUACACUCUCAGAGCAUAAUGUUAUUGCAUAUUUGAUGAUAUGUGUAAUAGUAAAUGUUUUUCUCGCCAAAAAAUGGAAAUAAAAAUUCAGGAUUCUGUGCUACUCUGAAAGUGGCAAAACCAAAGAAGGGAUCUUCAGUUGCUGUCUUUGGACUUGGGGCUGUUAGCCUGGCAGUAAGUUUGGGAUAAAUUUUGUUGACAUAUCCUGAAUUGUAGUAGUUUGCCAUUUAUUUCCCAUGUGGUAUUCAUAAUUAUUUAUAUGUUUCUUUAGGCUGCUGAAGGUGCAAGAAUUUCUGGGGCAUCAAGGAUUAUUGGGGUUGACUUGAAUCCCAAGAGGUUUGAGGAAGGUACUUGUAAUUUUGUACAUCUUCAUUAGUUUGUCAUGGUUUACAUUUACUUGGAAAACAUAAGAAACAAAUUCUUGCUUGAUACUUUUAUUUCCCCUGGUUUUAAGCCAAGAACUUUGGAGUAAAUGAGUUCGUGAACCCAAGGGACCAUAUCAAGCCAGUGCAACAGGUGAAAAAUUGUUCUUAAUAGAAAAACCCCUUAAAGAUAGCAGUUAUAACCACUAGUAAAUCACCUUUGACACCAACAGAUUAUUGCUGAGAUGACGAAUGGUGGAGUCGACAGAAGCUUAGAGUGCACCGGCAACAUUAAUUCGAUUAUCUCCGCUUUUGAAUGUGUUCAUGAUGCAUGUUGUUUUUCAGAUAACAGCAGUUACAUUUUCAUAUUUUGUAAUAACUGAAGGCUUAAGUUACAGGGUAGGGUUGGUUCUGUUUUGAAUAACUCUUUUCUGGGUUUUGGAUUGAGACAGGAUUGGGGUGUGGCCGUUCUUGUAGGAGUACCAAGCAAAGAUGCAAUCUUCAAGACUAACCCCUUCAAUUCCCUUGAUGAAAGAACCCUUGAGGGAACCUUUUUGGGAACUACAAACCUCGGACUGAUCUUCCCUCUGUUGUAGACAUGUAUAUGAACAAGGUAAAAGAAUUUUCUUCUAAAUAUUCAAAUACAUUUUCAGGUGUUCAAAUCUUCUGUAGGCGAUUUUAACGAAUGCCUUUUGAUCACUUUCCGACAGAAACUUGAAGUAGAGAAGUUUAUAACUCAUCGAGUUCCUUUCUCAGAGAUCAACAAAGCCUGUGACUACAUGUUGAAGGGGGAAGGCUUGCGGUGUAUCAUUAGCAUGGAAGAGUAGGAUUAAUAUCAGAUAUAAAUAAAUAAAAACUUCAAUUAUUUUCUUUGCUGAAAAAGUUUAAAAAUUCAACAAGGUGUGAUAAAAAAAACUAAAAAAAAACUUCACUCCUUAUGAUUUUAAACUUCUUUUUUAAUUGCUUGUUUCUUGAGGGGAAAUGCGAGAAAAUGGAGGAGAGGUGGAGAGGGGGCUUCGAAGUUUGAAGCUCCAUUUUCUGUGGAAGCUUGGUAAAUAGUCGAACCAAGGCAAGCUAAAUCCAAGGAUGUACAGAAGGGUCAGUAAGCAAGCAGAUCAUAUUCUUCCACAAAUGAGGCAAUGGGUAAAUUCUCCAUGCACACUACAAGAUUACAAGUAGCUUAAGAUCCACUUUCUGAAAUGGAUGCCUCACACACGGUCAGGUUAGCUAUGAAAAUGAGUGAAUGAGCCCUACCAGUGAGGAUGUUACUUAUACUUCUCCAUGAUUCUUCUGGCUUCUUCUAGACUGUCCUCCAUCCCCUCCUCCUUUGGUGUAGAGGUGGUGCCUCCACCCCCCUUUGGUCCUUCAUCCUUAUUCAAAGCUAUAAAUGUAAAGUAUACGAGUCCCAUCGUAGCCUGUUAUCAUACAAUGCUUAGUUCAUUAGAAUUACAUAAUAUUUAUGUACUUCAAAAAUAAGGACUGUCUAUACAAGAAUAAUGCUCUCUUACUGACAAGAGGAAACUUGCCCUCAUUGCAUCUCAUUUCCUUAUAGAAACUAGUAACGCAGAAAAAGAAGUUGAUUUUAAAACACAAACACACAAAUGAUAGCACAAGCAUACUUGAUAUACAUUUUGGAAAAAGCAAGUCAAAUAACAUCAUCGAUCUACUGUUCUUGCAGGAGGAGAGAAAUAGAAACAUACCAGCACAAAGAAAACUUGAGUACAAAGAGUGAAGGAGAAAAUGCAACUACCGUCACAGAAACCCUUGCUAUUGAUCUUGGCACAGAAUCCUAGCACCCAAAUGCAAAACACAAACAGAAUAUCAAAAAUCUUCAAUUUGUACUAAAAGCAAGAAAAAGUUUGAAAGGGUAGACUAAACAUAACUUACCGGCACAAGAUUGGUUCCUGCCUCAAUUCCAUCUCUCCCAACCCUAUUUUACACAAUUCAAACCAGUAGUCAACACAAAUGUAAACAUAAAACUCAAGGGUAAAACUAUUUGCUCUCUUGUAUGAGCAGGAAAGCAGCAAAAGUAAUUCAUGUGAUUCAGAAAGGUAGAAACACUGUGAAUUGGAUGUAAACAGCCAAUGUCGUCCAUAUAUAAUUUAACUCAAAAUCUCAACCAGAAAAUUAAAAUGUUAUCCUAACAAUUCAAAAUUCUGACUCAAAAUUAGCCUGCAUGAAAAAUACUUGAAAAGAUUUCUUGACCUACUUUUAAUGCAUAAGAAAGACAAAUUUAAAAUAACAAAAAUUGCCCUGAGAAAAUCACACUUGCUGCACAUGGCAGCACGUCAGCUAGGUUUCACCCACCAAAUGGUAAGUUCCCAUGGAUUAUGGUAUGGAUGAUUAGCCAGUUCUCUCAACUAUCCGAUUAACGGGUGAUCACUCUUUAACGUAAGAAGAUUCAAGCUUUUCUAAACGGUUCCAUUCUCUAGUUACAGCUUCACUGCUUCUACAAAAGCGCCUUUACCUUUCAUGCCUGAUUGAAAUCUUUACAAUAGCUUUUUAUUUUUAGAGGCCAAUCAUUUACAAUUUCAUUCUACUAACCACUAAUCACCGGAGUUCCAAAGCACUGAAUUGAAAUCCACAAUCAAUGUUGAAAAUCGCUAGGCGGUAGGCGGGCGCCUAGGGCCUUUUUUUUAAAUUUAGAAUUAUUUUGUACUAAUCGCGGCCUGGUGGUGGUCGUCGCGGGUGGAGGCCCGGUGGUGUGGUGGUGGUCUGUCGUGAGAGAGAGAGAGAGAGAGAGAGAGAGAGAGAGAGAGAGGCAGCGUUAAACUCAAGGGAUAAAAAAAAUUUUAAAGGACCCGACCAGGCCGCCUAACUCCCGCCUAGCCGCCUAGGUGGCCGCUCUCGCCGCCUAGCCGCCUAGGUGGUCGCUCUCGCCUCCUAGCCGCCUAGGUGGUCGCUCUCGCCGCCUAGCGCAGCCUAGCAGCCUAGGUAGCCGCCUAGCGCCGCCUAGGCAGAUUUUUCGAACACUCGACAAUUUAGUGAUGGGAAACCAAGGUUUUCUAUCAAAGGGACUCCCAUUAAUCACUUUCUUGGCACAUCCACCUUCAGUGAACACACUGUUGUUCAUUCAGGCUGUCUUGCCAAGAUCAAUCGCCUGGCACCUUUGGAUAAAGUUUGCAUCCUUUGUUGUGGCAUCUCAACAGGUUUGGUGUCAUACUCAAAGCAUUAUGGUCAUGAUUUAUGUAUCCAAACAUUCCAUAAUUAAUCGUUUGUGUGAUAGGGAUUUUUCUUUAUAAAUUUCAGACUUGGGUGCCACCCUGAAUGUAGCAAAACCGAAGAAGGGAUCUUCAGUUGCUGUCUUCGGACUUGGGGCUGUUGGCCUGGCUGUAAGUUUUGGGAAAAUUUUGUUCAUCAAAUCCUUAAUUCCAAUAGUUGCAUUUAUUUCCUUUUCCGUAUUUUUACUGAUAUUUUUUUGUCUAGGCUGCUGAAGGUGCAAGAAUUUCUGGGGCAUCACGGAUUAUUGUGAUCGACCGAAAUCCCAAGAGGUUUGAGGAAGGUAUUUACAAUGUUGUCCAUUGUCAUUUACCAUGGUUUUAACAGGUAGUUUCAUGGGAAAACGUAGAAACAAAUUCUUGCUCAAAACCUUUUCUUUUUUCUGGUUUAGCCAAGAAAUUUGGAGUAAAUGAGUUUGUGAAUCCAAAGGACCAUGACAAACCAGUGCAAUGCAAGAGGUGAAAAACAGUUCUUUAUUCGUAUCAGAUGUUGCUACAUCAAUCCACAUAGAUAGUUAAGUUAUAUCCAACCUUCAGAUUUGAUCUUUAAAAUCAACAGGUUGUUGCUGAGAUGACAAACGGUGGAGUUGAUAGGAGCAUAGAGUGCACAGGCAAUAUUAACGCCAUGAUAUCGGCUUUUGAAUGUGUUCAUGAUGUAUGUUUUCUGGAUUACAGCAGCUACAUUUUGAUUGCAAAUAUUGGAGAUACAAUUUGGCCUAAACAGACGAACGCUUGAGGCGAUUUCCAUUCGCCUUGCUCCUACGCAUGCACUGGGGCGCGAUUAGGCAUGCCUUUGAAAACACUGGUACCAAUCAUUGAUGACCUGUGUGUGCUAGUUCAUCUUUAACACCUGUCUAUCUACAUUCUACCCUCAGCUGCAUCUGCAGUCAUGAGCUUAUAUGUUUUGAUCGGUAUCACAAGGAUGGGGUGUAGCUGUGCUUGUUGGAGUUCCGAACAAGGAUGCAGUCUUCAUGACUAAGCUGAUUAAUGUGCUGAAUGAAAGGACGCUUAAAGGAACAUUUUUUGGGAACUACAAACCUAGGACACACCUUCCCUCUGUUGUGGACAUGUACAUGAACAAGGUAACAUCAUUUUCUUCUAAGAUUUUCGUUUACUUUAUCAGGUGUUCAAUUCGUUUGUCAUGGAUUCUAAUGAACUAAGCAUUUUUCCUUUUCACUUUCCAACAGGAACGGGACGUAGAGAAGUUCAUAACUCAUCGAGUUCCUUUCUCCGAGAUCAACAAAGCCUUUGAUUACAUGGUGAAGGGGGAAGGAUUGCGAUGCAUCAUUAGCAUGGAAGAGUAGCUGCUUGUUAAAGUUUUGAGAGUGUUUGCUAGUAUUCUAGCUGAUUUAUCAGAGAAAGGAGUGAGAGGAAUAGAAGGAGAGAAAUCUGUAAAAACUGCUCUGCUUACUCUCUAAGUCAGAGAGCAAGGAUAUGUAUAUUCUGUUUUCUCUAUUCAAUCACGCACACACACAAAGCAUGAAGUACAUGACCGUUAGCCUUAGCUGGAUGCACACACAUAAUAUUGCAUCUCAACCUUACACUUGUCAUUUUCUAAGACAAAGUGAAUACACAAUGAAAUACUAGGCUAAUUAACACUGAGCUCAAAUUAGCUCAAUGCUUAUACACUAACACUGCUAUCAGUUCAUAAUUAAACUUCAAUAAGUUUCUUUGAUGAACAGCUUUUUUCUUUUUUUUUCUUUUUUUUUUUGGAAAAGGUUGAAUUCAUUCCAUUAGAAGGGAGGAAUAAAAGGCAUGUCAUGCGUGGCCUCGUUAAAACCUUCCCAGAGAAAACCACAAGGGAAAAACUCCGGGGUAGGAAAGAGUACCACAUAUGCCCAUAACGUACACAACAGGAAAAUUACAUUACAUCAAUGAACAAAACAUCUUGUAGGAAAUCUGGGGGAUCAGUAACCCAGAUUUAAGUAUGAACGAAACAUCUUGAUGAACAGCUUUAAGUAUUCAACAAAGUAUGCACUUUCACACUGCUUAAGCAAUAUUUUGUGUAACCUGACAUAGAAACUAUCAGCCUCCAUUCAAAGUCAAGUUGGGUUCAAUAAGUAAAUUAUAGAAUACACUUUCAAUAAGACGAGUUCAAGUACAGUCUCCAAUUUUCCAUAUUUGAUAAAACAAUAUAUAAACCAACAGACUUUUUGAUAAAACAAAACAGGGUCUCUCUCUCUCUCUCUCUCUCUCUCUCUCUCCAAAGAUUUAGUUAAUUAUGCGAUUUCCUAAUCAAAAUCAAAGCAAACUCAUCAAAUUUGUGCCAAGUGUAGUCCAUCACAUUUCCGGUUAAUUCAUCAAAGUGUUUGUAGAGUGCCUCAUUUUCUCUCCCCUCCUAGCUACAUGUUGGUGUGGCCAGUCCAUCUCUGCCUUCCUCACAAUAGAGGGAAAGAGAGAGUCCUGCGGAGGGGUUAUUGGAGGCCAUUUUUUCUCAACAACCUCUCUAAAAUAGACACAACUUUUGUUGCUCUUGAAUAUAAUGGAUUCUCAAUAUCACCUCUUUGGUUGCCAAUUGGAUUUUUCAAUUGGUUUUUAAGUACAAAACUCUAACUCCUGUGCACUCAUUACAUAUAUGUACAUAUAUAAACACACACAAUGCAUUCGAGGUUUAGAACUUUGGUGCACAAUGACCAUUUCUUAAAGCUCCUAAAAAACCAAAAAUUUCGCUUCAUCAGCCCCGAACUCUACGACACUUCGGCUACCGCUGGCCGUGUGAUCACCAGCAAAGGUAUACCAAUGCAACAUUUCAUACUUUUUAAGCUUUUUUUUUUUUUUUUUACUUCUUGAAUUGGGAACAUUGUAAAAUUGGUUCUAUUUAUUUGCCUCCUUUAGAAUUUCUUAAUUUUGAAAGAUGGGAUUUUUUCUCUCCCGUUGUUUGAUUUUGCAGCGGCGGUCGCAUGGGAAGCAGGAAAGCCAUUGGUGAUAGAGAAGGUAGAGGUUGCUCCACCCCAGGCUAAUGAAGUGAGGGUCAAAAUCAAAUAUACCUCACUUUGUCACACUGAUGUCCACUUCUGGGAAGCCAAGGUCGGUUCUAUUUUUAUCAGAAUGCUUUCCAUUUCUUUGGGGUUUUUUUCCUUCUUCAUUUUUUUCUUUCCCAUUUAGCAUAAGUUUGAAUCUUUUACUUAUUUGUUAUAUGUUUCUUUAUGAAACUUCAGGGCCAGACUGGUCUCUUCCCCCGAAUAUUCGGUCAUGAAGCAGCUGGGUACGUUGUUGCUUUUAAGUGAAUCUUACAUCCUCUGGCUUCAGAAUGGACUAUUUUUCACAGUAUUGGUUCCUUUUCUUUCUUCCUUUUCCCCUCCCUUGGCUUCCAUAACCUGGUUUAGUUCAUAUUACGAAUGCAAAUGCUGAUUUUCAUAACAGAGUCGUUGAGAGUGUUGGGGACGGCGUUAAAAACCUCAAGCCUGGGGAUCAUGUACUUCCAGUUUUCACAGGGGAGUGUGGGGAUUGCGUGCAUUGCAAGUCUGAGGAAAGCAAUAUGUGUGACCUGCUGAGAAUCAAUACAGAUAGAGGAGUUAUGAUUGGUGAUGGGAAACAAAGGUUUUCCAAGAAUGGGACUCCUAUUAAUCACUUUCUUGGCACAUCUACCUUCAGUGAAUAUACAGUCAUCCAUGAAGGCUGCCUUGCC
rnacentral:lncRNA from 1 species